AAUGAACGUUGGCGGCGUGGAUUAGGCAUGCAAGUCGUACGAGAAUCGUAGCAAUACGAGGAAAGUGGCGGAAGGGAGAGGAUUACGUGGGAAUCUACCCUCAGAACUGGGAUAGCGGCGGGAAACUGCCGGUAAUACCAGAUAAUGUCUGUGGACCAAAGGUGUGAUUCCGUCUGGGGAUGAGCCCACGUCCUAUUAGCUAGUUGGCAGGGUAAUGGCCUACCUAGGCAAUGAUGGGUAGCGGGUGUGAGAGCAUGACCCGCCUCACUGGGACUGAGAACUGCCCAGACACCUGCGGGUGGCUGCAGUCGAGAAUCUUCGGCAAUGAGCGCAAGCUUGACCGAGCGACGCCGCGUGCGGGAUGAAGGCCUUCGGGUUGUAAACCGCUGUCGUAGGGGAGCAAGAGAUGAGGGUACUCCCUCUGAUUUGAGCGAUCCUAGGAGGAAGGACGGGCUAAGUUCGUGCCAGCCGCCGCGGUAAUAC
rnacentral:rRNA from 1 species